rnacentral:rRNA from 1 species
UGGGAGUACGGUCGCAAGACUGAAACUCAAAGGAAUUGACGGGGGCCCGCACAAGCGGUGGAGCAUGUGGUUUAAUUCGAAGCAACGCGAAGAACCUUACCAGGUCUUGACAUCCUCUGACAAUCCUAGAGAUAGGACGUCCCCUUCGGGGGCAGAGUGACAGGUGGUGCAUGGUUGUCGUCAGCUCGUGUCGUGAGAUGUUGGGUUAAGUCCCGCAACGAGCGCAACCCUUGCCUUUAGUUGCCAGCAUUAAGUUGGGCACUCUAGAGGGACUGCCGAGGAUAACUCGGAGGAAGGUGGGGAUGACGUCAAAUCAUCAUGCCCCUUAUGCUUAGGGCUACACACGUGCUACAAUGGGUGGUACAGAGGGUUGCCAAGCCGUGAGGUGGAGCUAAUCCCUUAAAGCCAUUCUCAGUUCGGAUUGUAGGCUGAAACUCGCCUACAUGAAGCUGGAGUUACUAGUAAUCGCAGAUCAGAAUGCUGCGGUGAAUGCGUUCCCGGGUCUUGUACACACCGCCCGUCACACCAUGGGAGUUGGGGGCGCCCGAAGCCGGUUAGCUAACCUUUUAGGAAGCGGCCGUCGAAGGUGAAACCAAUGACUGGGGUGAAGUCGUAACAAGGUAGCCGUAUCGGAAGGUGCGGCUGGAUCACCUCCUUUCUAAGGA